rnacentral:sRNA from 1 species
AGCAACAGGGGGGUGGAAUUGUGUUCCAGCACUUCAAACAACAAAUAAUCAUCAGGAAUUUGGAUAAUUGGAAGGUGCUCUGAACAUAACCUGAAACAGCUAAAGCGCUAUUUUACAAUGGGUAGGUUGAUGGUUGGUUAUCAAAUACUAACACAAUAUAUUUUCAGCUCUCUAGAUAGCCAACGGACCACUGAAUCUCAAACUAUUAUCUCACAAAGGUCUUGAGGCUUCUUUUUCCUACUGCACUUUGAUUUUUUUGAAACAACUAAUAGCUAUGGUCCUCUAAGACAUCGGUGUGAGAAUUCAUGAACAACUGUUAUUGUAGCGGAAAUCCGCUCCUCCUGUAUAUAUCUGAGGGGAUCAUUGCCAUCUGUAGAGGGUGCUUUAGAGAUAGAUAUAUGUAAGAAUUAUGCUUAACUACUACACUAAAAAGGAGAAUUCUCCUAAUUGGCAGUGUGGGAUCAGCAUAUAACUCGAAUUUUUUAGUCAAGCAG